UCUGCCCACCCGAUCCAGCCGCUGCUUGGGACUCUCGCCACACGUGCCCACCAGCGUGGCAGAGAUGUUGUCCAUUGUGCCGGCCUUCAGCCAGAACUGUCCGACAUGUGAAUCACCCACGUGUGACUCACUAAGCACACCUGAGCCGCAUUCAGUCAUACAUCGCAAGUGACUGCAGCCACGUGCAGGGCCGCUCAGGAGACAAAGUGGAGUCCUUGGCGCAAAGCGUGCGGAGGCCUCGUGUGGCAUUCUUUGCGUUCCAUGUCUGCCCUGAUCCCGCAGUUCUGUGGGAGGGAGCCCAGGCGCCCGGAGGAUCCGAGAUUUGGGUCACAGUCUCCAGGGAGCAACCUCCCAGCGUGGGAAGACAGAAGUCCGCAGCGGCCCCGCGCGGCGGGUCCUGACUCCGCAAGUUACUGAACCAGCCUCCGACGCUCCAGCUCCUGCAUCCCAGAGUCCGCGGGGAAAUGAGGCAGAAGGCAGGAAAAUGUAAUCAGCCGCGGCGGGGUGCUCACACUUCUUCAGAGUCUGUUGUUCUGUGUUCAGAGGCAUGCUUGGUUGUAGGUUCUGCAAAGAACUCUUUUACAGAGAAGAAGAGCAUGUCACUAAGAGCCCGGAUAGCUCAGUCGGUAGAGCAUCAGACUUUUAAUCUGAGGGUCCAGGGUUCAAGUCCCUGUUCGGGCGUUGUAGCUUUUUAUCUCACUGAAAAGAGCGGCGUUUGGGUGAAUAGGUAUGCGGGGCUAUUUUCAAUGAAGCAACGAAAACGAGUAACAGUAGUUGUAAAAAUAAUUGUAUUUUGUCAAAAGAAAAUGGUCUUAGUUUAUUUCUGAAGUUGUAACGAAUGACAGUGGAGGGAAACACUUUUUAAACAUUAUGAUCUUGGUUUAUUAAUGUUUUUACUGUAAACUGACAAAUUUUUAUUGUAUAUCUUUAUAAGGUACACAGUUAUAUCUACAUGCGGACUAGCCAAAUGAAGCUAAUUAACAUUUAUCAACUCAAUUUUAUUUGUGGAGGGAACAUUUGAAAUUUACGCCCAGCAACUUUGAGAUAUAUAAUCCAUAAUUCUUAACUAUAGUCGCUAUGCUGUAUAAUAAACAUUAAAGGGGGUAUAGCUCAAGAGUAGAGCAUUCGACUGCACCAAACAUUAAAAAAUUAUUUCUCCAGUGCACUUAAAGCUUUGUACCUUCUGAUAGUCAUCAGCAGAUCAGCACGGCUCUCCUAACCAUCAUUCCACUCUUCGCUUCUGUGAGUCUGAUUGCUUUAAAUUCCACAAAUAGAUUAGAUCAUACGGUAUUUGUCUUUCUGUGCCUGGCAUCAUUUAGAACAAUAAAGAGGAGAUGUUUUAGAGUAGUAUUUCUGCAAACUAUGUAUGCAAGUGCAAACUUUGUAGGAGCUACAUCAAAAAGAGUAAAAUAUUCGGAGAAAUUAAUCAUAAUAAUAUAUUUACUUAACCAAAUAUGCCAAAAUCUUAACUUGCAAUCAAUAUU